UACAGAGGUCUCAAGCGUUGUUCGGAUUCAUUGGGCGUAAAGGGUGCGUAGGAGGGCAGGUAAGUCAGUGGUGAAAUCCCCGAGCUUAACUUGGGAACUGCCGUUGAUACUAUCUGUCUUGAAUGUUGUGGAGGUGAGCGGAAUAUGUCAUGUAGCGGUGAAAUGCUUAGAUAUGACAUAGAACACCAAUUGCGAAGGCAGCUCGCUACACAAUUAUUGACUCUGAGGCACGAAAGCGUGGGGAUCAAACAGG
rnacentral:rRNA from 1 species